rnacentral:misc_RNA from 1 species
GAUGAAGAACGUAGCGAAAUGCGAUAAGUAGUGUGAAUUGCAGAAUUCAGUGAAUCAUCGAAUCUUUGAACGCACAUUGCGCCCCUUGGUAUUCCAUGGGGCAUGCCUGUUCGAGCGUCAUUUGUACCUUCAAGCUCUGCUAGGUGUUGGGUGUUUGUCUCGCCUCUGCGUGUAGACUCGCCUCAAAACAAUUGGCAGCCGGCGUAUUGAUUUCGGAGCGCAGUACAUCUCGCGCUUUGCACUCAUAACGACGACGUCCAAAAGUACAUUUUUACACUCUUGACCUCGGAUCAGGUAGGGAUACCCGCUGAACUUAAGCAUAUCAAUAAGCGGAGGA